UACGUAGGGGGCAAGCGUUAUCCGGAAUUACUGGGUGUAAAGGGAGCGUAGGCGGCAUGGUAAGUAAGGUGUGAAAGCCUUGGGCUUAACCCGAGGAUUGCACUUUAAACUAUCAAGCUAGAGUACAGGAGAGGUAAGUGGAAUUCCUAGUGUAGCGGUGAAAUGCGUAGAUAUUAGGAAGAACACCAGUGGCGAAGGCGACUUACUGGACUGAAACUGACGCUGAGGCUCGAAAGCGUGGGGAGCAAACAGGAUUAGAUACCCUGGUAGUCCCUGAG
rnacentral:rRNA from 1 species